GCUGUGGGCCCCCCUGCCAGCAGUGACAGUGAGGAGAUGGAGGACAGACAGGGGUUUGGGCGAGUGUUGGAAACGCCAAGACCCAGACAGGACCCCCUGGGGCGCAGUGACAACGGCUACAGGUCCUCUCCAGACCCUGCCUCAAAGCCACAGAAAGCUGCAGCUGAGGCCCUCGAAAGCAGCUCUGAGCUGGAGCAGAUCUUCAAAAGCUUUGCAGGUGUCCAGAGUGAGAGUGAAGAGGAUGCAGAUUUCCACACAGUGAACCGCUCCUUCAAUAUGACAUGUGGGGUGUGGGAGGGCUCAGGACAAAGGGAGGAGGAGGGGACCUCUGAGUCGGACUACACCCAGUCUCCUGUGGAGCCUUCCAGCAUGUUCUACACCCCCAACCCAGAGCAGAGGAACAACCCAUCCAGAGAUAGCCAGGUCUAGUAGUUCUUAGUUAACGUAAUAGUUACAAUGCCUUCAAAAGUAUUCAUACCCCUUGACAUAUUCCACAUUUUGUUGUGUUACAGCCUGAAUUCAAAAUGGAUUAAUAGAUUUUUGUUCUACCAUAAAAAAAAAAUUUAAAUCACCUUUAUUUAACCAGGUAGGCAAGUUGAGAACAAGUUCUCAUUUACAAUCGCGACCUGGUCAAGAUUAAGCACAGCAGUUCGACACAUACAACAACACGGAGUUACACAUGGAGUAGAACAAACAUACAGUCAAUAAUACAGUAGAAAAAGAAGUCUAUAUACAAUGUGCGAAAAUGAGGUGAGAUAAGGGAGGUAAAGGCAAAAAAAGGCCAAGGUGGUGAAGUAAAUGGUAGAUUUGCAGUGGAAGAAUGUGCAAAGUAGAGAGAAAUAAUGGGGUGCAAAGGAGCAAAAUAAAUAAAUACAGUAGGGGGAGAGGUAGUUGUUUGGGCUAAAUUAUAGAUGGGCCAUGUACAGGUGCAGUAAUCUGUUAGCUGCUCUGACAGCUGGUGCUUAAAGCUAGUGAGGGAGAUAAGUGUUUUCAGUUUCGUCGAUUUUUGUCGUUCGCUCCAGUCAUUGGCAGCAGAGAACUGUAAAGAGAGGCGGCCAAAGGAAGAAUUGGUUUUUGGGGGUGACCAGAGAGAUACACCUGCUGGAGCGCGUGCUACAGGCUAUGGUGACCAGCGAGCUGAAAUAAGGGGGGACUUUACCUAGCAAAGACUUAUAGAUGACCUGCAGCCAGUGGGUUUGAUGUAGCGAGGGCCAGCCAACGAGAGUGUACAGGUCGCAGUGGUGGGUAAUUAUAUGGGGCUUUGGUGACAAAACGGAUGGCACUGUGAUAGACUGCAUUCAAUUUAUUGAGUAGGGUAUUGGAGGCUAUUUUGUAAACGACAUCGUCGAGGAUCGGUAGGAUGGUCAAUUUUACGAGGGUAUGUUUGGCAGCAUGAGUGAAGGAUGCUUUGUUGCGAAAUGGGAAGCCAAUUCUAGAUUUAACUUUGGAUUGGAGAUGUUUGAUGUGAGUCUGGAAGGAGAGUUUACAGUCUAACCAGACACCUAGGUAUUUGUAGUUGUCCACAUAUUCUAAGUCAGAACCGUCCAGAGUAGUGAUGUUGGACGGGCGGCAGGUGCAGGCAGCGAUCGGUUGAAGAGCAUGCAUUUAGUUUGACUUGUAUUUAAGAGUGAACCUGUUUUUAGAAAUGUUUGCAAAUGUAUUGAAAAUUAAAUCCAGAAAUAUCUCAUUUACAUAAGUAUUCACACCCCUGAGUCAAUACUUUGUAGAAGCACCUUUGGCAUUACAGCUUUGAGUUCUCUUGGCUAUGUCUGUAUCAGUUUUACACAUUUACACCCAAAGCAUGAUGCUGCCACCACCAUGGUUCACAGUAUGGAUGGUGUUAGAUCGGUGAUGAGCAGUGCCUGGUUCAGGCCAAAGAGUACAAUUUUUUGUCACAUCAGACCAAAGAAUCUUUCACGUGCCUUUUUGCAAACUCCAGGUGUGGUGUCAUGUGCCUUUUAAUCAGGAUUGGCUUCCACCUGGCCCCUCUCCCAUAAAACCCAGAUUGGUGAAGUGCUAUAGGAGAACAACAGUCUCUCUAUCUCAGCCAAGGAACUCUGUAGUUCUGCCAGAAUGGUCAUUUGGUUCUUUGCCACCUCCCUGACCAAGGUCCUACUUGCCCGGUUGGAAGGCCAGCUCUAGGCAGAGUCUGGGUAGUUCCAUAUUUUUUCCAAUGAUGGAGACCACUGUACUCUUUUAAACUUUCAAUACUGUAGACAUUGUUUUAUACACUACAUGUCCAAGUGUGUGUGUGUGUGGACACCCCUUCAAAUUAGUGGAUUUGACUAUUUCAGCCACACCUUUUGCUGACUGGUGUAUAUAAUCAAGCACACAGCCAUGCAAUCUCCAUAGACAAGAAUUGUCAGUAGAAAUGCCAGUACUUAAGAGCUCAGUGACUUUCAAUCAAAUGUAUUUAUAAAGCCCUUCUUACAUCAGCUGAUGUCACAAAGUACUGUAUAGAAACCCAGCCUAAAUCCCCAAACAGCAAGCAAUGUAGGUGUAGAAGCACUUUCAAUGUGGCACUGUCAUAGGAUGUCACCUUUCCAACUAGUCAGUUUGUCAAAUGUCUGCCUUGCUGUUAUUGUGAAAUGGAAACGUCUAGCAACAACAGCUCAGCUGCGAAGUGGUAGGCCACACAAGCUCACAGACCGGGACUGCAGUGCGCUGAACCGUGUAAAAAUUGUCUGUCCUCUGUCGCAACACUCACUACUGAGUUCAAAACUGCUUUUGGAAGCAACAUCAGCGCAAUAACUGAAAUCCAUGAAAUGGAUUUCCAUGGCUGAGCAGCCGCACAAAAGCCUAAGAUCACCAUGCGCAAUGCCAAGCGGGGACCAACUCCAUAUUAAUGCCCAUGAUUUUGGAAUGAGAUUGUUUGAAAAGCAGGUGUCCACAUACUUUUGGUGUGUAUAUGUCUCAUCACAAGUAUAUCUUGGAGCUCUGCAGACAGUGCCUUGGACUUCAUGUUAUAGUUUCUGCUCUAUAUGUGAAAUCAAAAUAUUUCUCUGUCCGCUUUUGUAUAUAAUCUAUACUGAACAAAAAUAUAAACGCAACAAUUUCAAUGAUUUUACUGAGUUACAGUUCAUAUAAGGAAAUCAUUCAAUUGAAAUAAAUUAGGCCCUAAUCUAUGGAUUUCACAUGAGUGUGCAGGGGUGCAGCCAUGGGUGUGACUUGGAAGGCAUAGGCACACCCACUGGGGAGCCAGGCCCAGCCAAUCAGCAUGAGUUUUUCCCCACAAAAUGGCUUUAUUACAGACAGAAAUACCCCUCGGACGAUCCCGCCUAUGAAGCAGGAUGUGGAAGUCCUGGGCUGCUGUGGUCUGCAGUUGUGAGGCCCGUUGGACGUACUAUCAAAUUCUCUAAAACAACUUGAGGCAGCUUAUGGUAGAGAAAUUAACAUUCAAUUAUCUGCCAACAGCUCUGGUGGACAUUCCUGCAGUCAGCAUGCCAAUUGCAUGCUCCCUCAACUUGAGACAUCUGUGGCAUUGUGUUGUGACAAAACUGCACAUUUUAGUGGCCUUUUAUUGUCCCCAGCACAAGGUGCACCAGUGUAAUGAUCGUGCUGUUAAAUCAGCUUCUUGACAUGCCACACUUGUCAAGUGGAUGGAUUAUCUUGGCUACGGGGAAAUGCUCAUUAACAGGGAUAUGAACAAAUUUGUGCACAAUUUGUGAGAAAAAAGCUUUCUUUUUGUACUUACGGAAAUCUUUUGGGAUUUUUUUAUUUCAGCUCAUGAAACAUGGGCCAACACUUUACAUGUUGCGUUCAUAUUUUUGUUCAGUGUAGAUCAUGUAUUCUAUUGUACUUGGUACUGAUUCAUAGAUUUUCUGUUUUCUUGCUUGAUCGUGUGACAUUUAUUGAUGAAAUGUUUGUUUUCACUUUUCAUUCAUGCACUUUCUUGCACUUAUUUUUUGGGCACAAUGACAUUUUAAUAAACAACUUUAUUUUGCAUUCAAGCCUCAGUUUUGGAUUUAUUUGUUUUUUCGGCAGUGUGCGGGUCUCCACCUCUUCCAAUAGUUUCUGCUCUGGCAUGCACUGUCAACUGUGGGACCUUAUAUCGACAGGUGUGUUUCUUUCUAAAUCAUGUCCAAACAAUUUAAUUGGCCA
ensembl:lncRNA